GAUGAAGAACGUAGCGAAAUGCGAUAAGUAGUGUGAAUUGCAGAAUUCAGUGAAUCAUCGAAUCUUUGAACGCACAUUGCGCCCUUUGGUAUUCCAAAGGGCAUGCCUGUUCGAGCGUCAUUUGUACCCUCAAGCUUUGCUUGGUGUUGGGCGUCUUGUCUCUAGCUUUGCUGGAGACUCGCCUUAAAGUAAUUGGCAGCCGGCCUACUGGUUUCGGAGCGCAGGACAAGUCGCACUCUCUAUCAGCAAAGGUCUAGCAUCCAUUAAGCCUUUUUUUCAACUUUUGACCUCGGAUCAGGUAGGGAUACCCGCUGAACUUAAGCAUAUCAAUAAGCGGAGGA
rnacentral:misc_RNA from 1 species